GACGAACGCUGGCGGCGUGCUUAACACAUGCAAGUCGAACGGAAAGGCCCUGCUUUUGUGGGGUGCUCGAUUGGCGAACGGGUGAGUAACACGUGAGUAACCUGCCCUUGACUUUGGGAUAACUUCAGGAAACUGGGGCUAAUACCGGAUAGGAGCUCCUGCUGCAUGUGGGGGGUUGGAAAGUUGCGGCGGUUGGGAAUGGACUCGCGGCUUAUCAGCUUGUUGGUGGGGUAGUGGCUUACCAAGGCUUGGACGGGUAGCCGCCCUGGGAGGGGGACCGGCAACAUGGGCAUUAGGAUAGGGCCAGGACGCAAACGGGAGGCAGGGGUGGGAAAUAUUGCAAAAUGGGCGGAGGCAGGAUGGAGCAACGCCGGGUGGGGAAGGACGGCUUUCGGGUGGUAACCCGUUUUCGCUUAUGAAGAAGCGUGGUGAAGGUAAAUGGGUAAAAAGACACGGCUAAAUUAGUG
rnacentral:rRNA from 1 species